UACGGAGGAUGCAAGCGUUAUCCGGAAUGAUUGGGCGUAAAGCGUCCGCAGGUGGCUAUGUAAGUCUGCUGUUAAAGAGUGAGGCUCAACCUCAUAAGAGCAGUGGAAACUACAUGGCUAGAGUGCGUUCGGGGCAGAGGGAAUUCCUGGUGUAGCGGUGAAAUGCGUAGAGAUCAGGAAGAACACCGGUGGCGAAAGCGCUCGGCUAGGCCGCAACUGACACUCAUGGACGAAAGCUAGGGGAGCGAAUGGG
rnacentral:rRNA from 1 species